rnacentral:rRNA from 1 species
UACGAAGGGGGGCUAGCGUUGCUCGGAAUCACUGGGCGUAAAGCGCACGUAGGCGGCUUUCUAAGUCAGGGGUGAAAUCCUGGAGCUCAACUCCAGAACUGCCUUUGAUACUGGAGAGCUUGAGUUCGGGAGAGGUGAGUGGAACUGCGAGUGUAGAGGUGAAAUUCGUAGAUAUUCGCAAGAACACCAGUGGCGAAGGCGGCUCACUGGCCCGAUACUGACGCUGAGGUGCGAAAGCGUGGGGAGCAAACAGG